AAGUAAGGUAAGCCGACUAGAAAAGACAAUGGCUGAAGCCCCCAAGAAGACUCAAACAAACAUAAGUCAGCAUGGGUUUCAGAGAUGGUUCAUCUGGGUAAUGGUUGAUCUAUGGUCCCCAAGUGCUUCCUUCAUGGAGGGAGCAUGGAAGGAGGGAUGUCCAUGGUCCCUCCCACCGAGGUCAUGUUAAUGACCUCUCAGGGGUCUCUGGACUGGUGCUUGCAGGCCUUAAGCCUGACUGGUGACGACUUGACAAUCGGUUUUGGUGUGAUCUUAAUGCUAUCGUCGGCCUGGCGGGCAACCCACCGUACACCUCAAGGCAGGCCAAGCAGUGUGUGAGAACUCGCCACCACCCACAAAUGUUUAUACCCUUUUCAGUUUUCUGAUCUCAAUUAUUGUGCUAAGUCAUUCAAUUUGGUAUCAAAUUGUUCACAAUAAAAUGCUCCAAAGGAAUAUGUGCAUACAAGAAUAUACAAUUCUUACUUUCCCAUACUUUAGACCCACCGCGCACUGCAAGGUAGGCCGAGAGCUAGCCACCACACAAAAAGGUUUAUACUCUUCAGCUCUUUCACCUCAAUUCUCGUGCUAUGUCGUUCAAUUUUGUAUCAAACUGUUCACAAUAGAAUGUUCUAAAUUAAUAUUUGCAUAUAAGAAUAAUGUUACCAAUUUGCAUAUAAGAAUAAAUAGAAUAAUGUUACCAAUACCAUAAGAUGAAGUAAAACCGUCAUGUAAAAAACACCCGUUUUUCUUUGUUUACAGUCAUUAUUUAUUCCAGGUGGAUGCCAUGUGGUAUCUAAAGAGAAUGGGAAGACAUUGGUGUGCAUUUUAAAACAAGUCUAAUAGUAUUCAAACCAUAAAUGGAAAUUUUUACAAAUUUUUAAAUUACUGACGCCGUUUGCGUCAUGCCGCUCACUCCGUAGUUUUGUUUUUGAUAGAAAUACUGGCAUCGGGUACCGAAAGUGUUAAAUUGAAGACCAAGUCUGCAUCUCGAGUACAUUAUUUUUCUCAUCUUAUUCUCCUAAACAAAAACUAAGUAAAUUUGAUUCUUACUGAAAACCAGAUGAUAGGAUAUUUCUUUUUAGACCUCCUAAGCAUUUCACUUAAGAUGAAGUGGUGCUGAUGAAAAGAUACUUUGGCUCUGUAUCAAGGCUUGGAUACAACAAGACUGUCUGGGAAACCAACCAUUCACAACCUUAAGUAAAGCUUUAUGAACCCUU